rnacentral:rRNA from 1 species
AUUGAACGCUGGCGGCAGGCCUAACACAUGCAAGUCGAGCGAGCGGCGGACGGGUGAGUAAUGUAUGGGGACUGCCCGAUAGAGGGGGAUAACUACCGGAAACGGUGGCUAAUACCGCAUACUAUCGGAUAACCCAUAUGGGAUUAGCUAGUAGGUGGGGUAAUGUCUCACCUAGGCGACGAUCACUAGCUGGUCUGAGAGGAUGAUCAGCAACACUGUGGCUGAGACACGGCCCAGACUCCUACGGAGGCAGCAGUGGGGAAUAAUGCGCAAGGGGCGCAAGCCUGAUGCGGCCAAGCCGCGUGUAUGAAGAAGGCCUUAGGGAUGUAAAAUACUUUCAGCGGGGAGGCGUUACACGCAGGGGAAGCACCGGCUAACUACGUGCCAGCAGCCGCGGUAAUUC